rnacentral:rRNA from 1 species
AGGGGGAAAAUUAAUAAUUUAAAUUUAAUAAAAAAAAUUUUAAUAUUAAAAAGAAAAAAUGGGGGUUUAAGUAUUUUUAAUAGAAAAAAUUAAUAUUUUUAUAGUUAAAUAUUACUGUAAAGGAAUUUAUAAAUAAAUGAAAUAAAAUUAAUUAAAAAGUAAAUUUUAAUUAUUGUAUCUUGUGUAUCAGAGUUUAUUAAAUAAUAAUAAUUUAUUUAAAUAAAUCUCGAAUUUAAAAGAGUUAAUUAAUUAAUAAAGUUAAUGUUGAAUAAUUAUUUUAAAUAAUUAAUUAGAAAUGAAAUGUUAAUCGUUUUUAAAUAUAUCUAGUUUUUUUAGAAAAAAAUUUAAUUUUAAAUUUAAAUAAUUUUAUGAUUAUUUAAUUAAUUAUGAAAAUUUAAAUUWUAAUAUUUUAGGGGAUAAGCUUUAAAUUAAAAAUUUAUAAUUAAUUAAUUUUAAAUUAAAAUUUUUAAAAUUUAUAUUGUUUAAAAAUUAUAAUUUGUUAUAAAAAAUUUUAUUUUUAAUAAAAUUUAAAAUAAAAAAAUUUAAAUUUUUAUGAAAAAAUAAUUUAUAAUUAAAUAAAAUUAGAAAUAAUGAUAAAAUUAGUAUAAUAUAGUAAAUUAAAUUAAAUUUAUAAAUAAGUAAAUUAAAGGAAUUCGGCAAAAUUUUAUAUUCACUUGUUUAUCAAAAACAUGUCUUUUUGAUAAUAAUUUAAAGUCUAAUCUGCCCACUGAUAAAAUAUUAAAGGGCUGCAGUAUAUUGACUGUACAAAGGUAGCAUAAUCAUUAGUCUUUUAAUUGAAGACUUGUAUGAAAGAUUUGAUGAAAUAUAAACUGUCUCUAAUUUAUAAUUAGAAAUUAAUUUUUUAGUUAAAAAGCUAAAAUAAAAUUAAAAGACGAGAAGACCCUAUAGAGUUUUAUAUUUUAUUUUUUUAAUAUUAAAAAUAUAAUUAAAUUAUAUUAAGUAAAUAAAAUAUUAUGUUGGGGUGAUAGAAAAAUUUAAUAAACUUUUUUUUUAAAAAUUAACAUAAAUAAGUGAUUAAUUGAUCCAUUAAUAAUGAUUAAAAGAAAAAAUUACCUUAGGGAUAACAGCGUAAUAUUUUUUUUUAGUACAAAUAAAAAAGWAAGUUUGCGACCUCGAUGUUGGAUUAAGAUAAAAUUUAAAUGCAAAAGUUUAAAAUUUUGAUCUGUUCGAUCAUUAAAAUCUUACAUGAUCUGAGUUCAAACCGGUGUAAGCCAGGUUGGUUUCUAUCUUUAAUAAAAUAAAAUAUUUUAGUACGAAAGGAUCAAAUAUUUAAAAUAAUUUUAUUUAAUUGAAUAUUAAUAAUAUAAUUU